UAUAAGUUCCAGGGAGCCGAAUCAGAUCCAAACAGGUCAGAUUCACUCCAGGACUAAAAGGCACCAGAGUGGCCCGGACUACAAUGAAACAACAAUCAACUCCAGGACGUGGCAGCACCCCCAACCCCCCAAAGACGAUCAACGCCCCAGGCCAUCAGGAAGCAGCCUUAAGACAUCUUCGCCCCUACUUCCCUAACCUGCCACGCCCAAUUCUCUAACUUUUAUAAUAAACAACAGCCGGGAUUGUAAGAAC